UACGUAGGGAGCAAGCGUUGUCCGGAAUCAUUGGGCGUAAAGAGCGCGUAGGUGGCUUUAUAAGUCCGUUGUGAAAGUCAAAGGCUCAACCUUUGAAAGCCGAUGGAUACUGUGGAGCUAGAGUACGGAAGAGGCGAGUGGAAUUCCUGGUGUAGCGGUGGAAUGCGCAGAUAUCAGGAGGAACACCAAUAGCGAAGGCAGCUCGCUGGGACGUUACUGACACUGAGGCGCGAAAGCGUGGGGAGCGAACAGG
rnacentral:rRNA from 1 species